UACGGAGGGUGCAAGCGUUAUCCGGAUUCACUGGCGUAAGGGUGCGCAGGCGGCCAUGUGUGUCAGGUGUGAAAGCCCGGAGGCUCAACCUCGGAAUUGCGCCUGAAACUACAUGGCUAGAGUACUGGAGAGGGUAGCGGAAUUCAUGGUGUAGCAGUAGAAAUGCGUAGAUAUCUGGAGGAAUACCGGUGGCGAAGGCGGCAUCCUGGACCGACAUUGACGCUGAUGGAGCGAAAGCUAGGGGAGCAAACGGG
rnacentral:rRNA from 1 species